GGCCUAUUAGGUCUCGUAAUUGGAAUGAGAACAAUUUAAAUACCUUAACGAGGAACAAUUAGAGGGCGAGUCUGGUGCCAGCAGCCGCGGUAAUUCCAGCUCUGAUAGUAUAUAUUAAAGUUGUUGCAGUUAAAAAGCUCGUAGUUGAAACUUGGGUGCGUAGGGGCGGUCUCUUUUAGAGUACUACCCUGAAACAUCUUUCUUUGGUGUAAACUUUCUAUUUAUUUAGGAAGUGUAAGCCAAACAUUUACUUUGAAAAAAUUAGAGUGUUCAAAGCAGGCCUUUGCUCGAAUAUAUUAGCAUGGAAUAAUAGAAUAGGACGUAUGGUUCUAUUUUGUUGGUUUCUAGGACCGUCGUAAUGAUUAAUAGGGACGGUCGGGGGCAUCAGUAUUCAGUUGUCAGAGGUGAAAUUCUUGGAUUUACUGAAGACUAACUACUGCGAAAGCAUUUGCCAAGGACGUUUUCAUUAAUCAAGAACGAAAGUUAGGGGAUCGAAGACGAUCAGAUACCGUCGUAGUCUUAACCGUAAACUAUGCCGACUAGGGAUCGGAGGGCGUUAUAAUAACCUCUCCGGCACCUUACGAGAAAUCAAAGUUUUUGGGUUCUGGGGGGAGUAUGGUUGCAAGGCUGAAACUUAAAGGAAUUGACGGAAGGGCACCACCAGGAGUGGAGCCUGCGGCUUAAUUUGACUCAACACGGGGAAACUCACCAGGUCCAGACACAAUAAGGAUUGACAGAUUGAGAGCUCUUUCAUGAUUUUGUGGGUGGUGGUGCAUGGCCGUUCUUAGUUGGUGGAGUGAUUUGUCUGCUUAAUUGCGAUAACGAACGAGACCUUAACCUGCUAAAUAGCUGUAACAAUAGAUUAUUGUUUUGACAGCUUCUUAGAGGGACUAUCGAUUUUCAAGUCGAUGGAAGUUUGAGGCAAUAACAGGUCUGUGAUGUCCUUAGACGUUCUGGGCCGCACGCGCGCUACACUGACGGAGCCAGCGAGUCUAACCUGUGCCGAGAGGUAUGGGUAAUCUUGUGAAACUCCGUCGUGCUGGGGAUAGAGCAUUGCAAUUAUUGCUCUUCAACGAGGAAUUCCUAGUAAGCGCAAGUCAUCAGCUUGCGUUGGUUACGUCCCUGCCCUUUGUACACACCGCCCGUCGCUACUACCGAUUGAAUGGCUUAGUGAGGCUUCCGGAUUGAUUAACUGGAGAGGGCAACUUUUCUGGUUGAACGAGAAGCUAGUCAAACUUGGUCAUUUAGA
rnacentral:rRNA from 1 species